rnacentral:rRNA from 1 species
UUAAGCGACUAAGCGUACACGGUGGAUGCCCUGGCAGUCAGAGGCGAUGAAGGACGUGCUAAUCUGCGAUAAGCGUCGGUAAGGUGAUAUGAACCGUUAUAACCGGCGAUUUCCGAAUGGGGAAACCCAGUGUGAUUCGUCACACUAUCAUUAACUGAAUCCAUAGGUUAAUGAGGCGAACCGGGGGAACUGAAACAUCUAAGUACCCCGAGGAAAAGAAAUCAACCGAGAUUCCCCCAGUAGCGGCGAGCGAACGGGGAGCAGCCCAGAGCCUGAAUCAGUGUGUGUGUUAGUGGAAGCGUCUGGAAAGGCGCGCGAUACAGGGUGACAGCCCCGUACACAAAAAUGCACAUACUGUGAGCUCGAUGAGUAGGGCGGGACACGUGGUAUCCUGUCUGAAUAUGGGGGGACCAUCCUCCAAGGCUAAAUACUCCUGACUGACCGAUAGUGAACCAGUACCGUGAGGGAAAGGCGAAAAGAACCCCGGCGAGGGGAGUGAAAAAGAACCUGAAACCGUGUACGUACAAGCAGUGGGAGCACGCUUAGGCGUGUGACUGCGUACCUUUUGUAUAAUGGGUCAGCGACUUAUAUUCUGUAGCAAGGUUAACCGAAUAGGGGAGCCGAAGGGAAACCGAGUCUUAACUGGGCGUUAAGUUGCAGGGUAUAGACCCGAAACCCGGUGAUCUAGCCAUGGGCAGGUUGAAGGUUGGGUAACACUAACUGGAGGACCGAACCGACUAAUGUUGAAAAAUUAGCGGAUGACUUGUGGCUGGGGGUGAAAGGCCAAUCAAACCGGGAGAUAGCUGGUUCUCCCCGAAAGCUAUUUAGGUAGCGCCUCGUGAAUUCAUCUCCGGGGGUAGAGCACUGUUUCGGCAAGGGGGUCAUCCCGACUUACCAACCCGAUGCAAACUGCGAAUACCGGAGAAUGUUAUCACGGGAGACACACGGCGGGUGCUAACGUCCGUCGUGAAGAGGGAAACAACCCAGACCGCCAGCUAAGGUCCCAAAGUCAUGGUUAAGUGGGAAACGAUGUGGGAAGGCCCAGACAGCCAGGAUGUUGGCUUAGAAGCAGCCAUCAUUUAAAGAAAGCGUAAUAGCUCACUGGUCGAGUCGGCCUGCGCGGAAGAUGUAACGGGGCUAAACCAUGCACCGAAGCUGCGGCAGCGACGCUUAUGCGUUGUUGGGUAGGGGAGCGUUCUGUAAGCCUGUGAAGGUGUACUGUGAGGUAUGCUGGAGGUAUCAGAAGUGCGAAUGCUGACAUAAGUAACGAUAAAGCGGGUGAAAAGCCCGCUCGCCGGAAGACCAAGGGUUCCUGUCCAACGUUAAUCGGGGCAGGGUGAGUCGACCCCUAAGGCGAGGCCGAAAGGCGUAGUCGAUGGGAAACAGGUUAAUAUUCCUGUACUUGGUGUUACUGCGAAGGGGGGACGGAGAAGGCUAUGUUGGCCGGGCGACGGUUGUCCCGGUUUAAGCGUGUAGGCUGGUUUUCCAGGCAAAUCCGGAAAACUAAGGCUGAGGCGUGAUGACGAGGCACUACGGUGCUGAAGCAACAAAUGCCCUGCUUCCAGGAAAAGCCUCUAAGCAUCAGGUAACAUCAAAUCGUACCCCAAACCGACACAGGUGGUCAGGUAGAGAAUACCAAGGCGCUUGAGAGAACUCGGGUGAAGGAACUAGGCAAAAUGGUGCCGUAACUUCGGGAGAAGGCACGCUGAUAUGUAGGUGAAGUCCCUCGCGGAUGGAGCUGAAAUCAGUCGAAGAUACCAGCUGGCUGCAACUGUUUAUUAAAAACACAGCACUGUGCAAACACGAAAGUGGACGUAUACGGUGUGACGCCUGCCCGGUGCCGGAAGGUUAAUUGAUGGGGUUAGCGCAAGCGAAGCUCUUGAUCGAAGCCCCGGUAAACGGCGGCCGUAACUAUAACGGUCCUAAGGUAGCGAAAUUCCUUGUCGGGUAAGUUCCGACCUGCACGAAUGGCGUAAUGAUGGCCAGGCUGUCUCCACCCGAGACUCAGUGAAAUUGAACUCGCUGUGAAGAUGCAGUGUACCCGCGGCAAGACGGAAAGACCCCGUGAACCUUUACUAUAGCUUGACACUGAACAUUGAGCCUUGAUGUGUAGGAUAGGUGGGAGGCUUUGAAGUGUGGACGCCAGUCUGCAUGGAGCCGACCUUGAAAUACCACCCUUUAAUGUUUGAUGUUCUAACGUUGACCCGUAAUCCGGGUUGCGGACAGUGUCUGGUGGGUAGUUUGACUGGGGCGGUCUCCUCCUAAAGAGUAACGGAGGAGCACGAAGGUUGGCUAAUCCUGGUCGGACAUCAGGAGGUUAGUGCAAUGGCAUAAGCCAGCUUGACUGCGAGCGUGACGGCGCGAGCAGGUGCGAAAGCAGGUCAUAGUGAUCCGGUGGUUCUGAAUGGAAGGGCCAUCGCUCAACGGAUAAAAGGUACUCCGGGGAUAACAGGCUGAUACCGCCCAAGAGUUCAUAUCGACGGCGGUGUUUGGCACCUCGAUGUCGGCUCAUCACAUCCUGGGGCUGAAGUAGGUCCCAAGGGUAUGGCUGUUCGCCAUUUAAAGUGGUACGCGAGCUGGGUUUAGAACGUCGUGAGACAGUUCGGUCCCUAUCUGCCGUGGGCGCUGGAGAACUGAGGGGGGCUGCUCCUAGUACGAGAGGACCGGAGUGGACGCAUCACUGGUGUUCGGGUUGUCAUGCCAAUGGCACUGCCCGGUAGCUAAAUGCGGAAGAGAUAAGUGCUGAAAGCAUCUAAGCACGAAACUUGCCCCGAGAUGAGUUCUCCCUGACUCCUUGAGAGUCCUGAAGGAACGUUGAAGACGACGACGUUGAUAGGCCGGGUGUGUAAGCGCAGCGAUGCGUUGAGCUAACCGGUACUAAUGAACCGUGAGGCUUAACCUU